rnacentral:rRNA from 1 species
AACGAACGCUGGCGGCGUGCUUAACACAUGCAAGUCGAACGGUAAGGCCCUUCGGGGUACACGAGUGGCGAACGGGUGAGUAACACGUGGGUGAUCUGCCCUGCACUUCGGGAUAAGCCUGGGAAACUGGGUCUAAUACCGGAUAGGACCACUGCCUGCAUGGGUGGUGGUGGAAAGCUUUUGCGGUGUGGGAUGGGCCCGCGGACUAUCAGCUUGUGGGUGGGGUGAUGGCCUGCCAAGGCGACGACGGGUAGCCGGCCUGAGAGGGUGACCGGCCACACUGGGACUGAGAUACGGCCCAGACUCCUACGGGAGGCAGCAGUGGGGAAUAUUGCACAAUGGGCGCAAGCCUGAUGCAGCGACGCCGCGUGAGGGAUGACGGCCUUCGGGUUGUAAACCUCUUUCAGCACCGACGAAGCGCAAGUGACGGUAGGUGCAGAAGAAGGACCGGCCAACUACGUGCCAGCAGCCGCAGUAA